ACUAGAUCCGAGUCCCAGGCUAUAGCGCAUUCACACGAUCGGGAAGUGCUGAAGAAGGAAGUAAUAGUUUCACAGCAGAGAAAACUGAGUGAGCCUGAUUCAGAGAGACCUCCCUUGGAGAAGCCACAUGUCAUAUCUCAUCCUAGAAGCCCUUCAAAAGGUGCAGCAUCUGCCAUUCAGUCAAAAUCAGAGUUGAAGGACUUGGCCACAAGUGAUUCAAACUCUGUUAAAAGAUCGUCUUUGGACAGUUCUAAGUUGACUUAUAAACCAACUACUUUGGCUAAUUUAGCCGAAACUGCUGUGUUGUUGAAGGCUGAUCCUGAUAAAGGUAUAGAACGACAAGUGGCGGAGAAGCCCUCAGUGCAUUCAGUAUCCAUUACACCUCAGAACUUCCAAUCUCAUCAAGUGACUGCCUCUGCGACUACGGAGAAGUCCAAAUCACAAGUUCCUGCCCUGUCCAGAUCCUUGAAUGGUCCUGUAGUACAUGGGCCUAGGCCUGCUGCCUCUGUUGUUCCCAUGGUUCCAACAUCACCAUUAUUGGCCUGUUCAGUGAGUGCAGCAGGUCA
rnacentral:misc_RNA from 1 species